rnacentral:rRNA from 1 species
UCGAGAAUCUUUCGCAAUGGGCGAAAGCCUGACGAAGCGACGCUGUGUGAGCGAUGAAGGCCUUCGGGUUGUAAAGCUCUUUCGCAUAGGAACAAGAGAGGUCCGUGAAUAACGGGCCGAUUUGAGGGUACUAUGUAAAGAAGCACCGGCUAACUCCGUGCCAGCAGCUGCGGUAAUACGGAGGGUGCAAGCAUUAAUCGGAUUUAUUGGGCGUAAAGGGCGCGUAGGCGGGUUUUUAAGUCAGGUGUGAAAUUCUGAAGCUCAACUUCAGAGCUGCAUUUGAAACUGGAAAUCUCGAGGGUAGGCGGAGAAAAUGGAAUUCCACGUGUAGCGGUGAAAUGCGUAGAUAUGUGGAAGAACACCGGUGGCGAAAGCGAUUUUCUAGCUUACAACUGACGCUGAGGCGCGAGAGCAAGGGGAGCAAACAGGAUUAGAUACCCGGGUAGUCC